ensembl:lincRNA 4930584F24Rik RIKEN cDNA 4930584F24 gene
AGAAGGGCUGGGAUUCACAGCAAGCUCAUGUGUCUAGGAUGAUGACGUUCCUUCCAGGAAGAGAACUGGAUAUGACAUUGUUCCCAAGGAAUGAGCCAAGAGAAGCUAUGAGGUACUUUACCUAAGUACCAGUCCAAAAGACACCUGUGUGCCUAGAUACCAUUGAGCUUUCCCAAAUAGAAUGAGUGGUGGCCUCUGUGACCCCACAUGAGAAGUCACUGUCAUGAUUAUGGGCAUACCCAGUUCUGAAGGCAGCAGAGACCAUUGCAGUGGGCUAGGUUUCAAAACUAGGAGAGUCAGCAGGGAUUCUUUUAAGGAUGAACCAAGCAAGUCUCCAAAAGACACAAGGAUGUAUCCUGAAACCAAAAGUCCCACGCAAAACGUUCAAACACAAAGAUUCUGGCAUCAGGAACUUCUUGAGUUGCUAUUUAUGGAAGUUCAAGAGGUUCCCCCAAACAAUAUAAGUGACCUUGGAAACCAUAUACUUCUGCUGUUGGCUGUCCCGUUCAGCCUGUCCUCUUCACUGUGCAGGAACCAUCCAAGGGACUGCAUGCCAAGGACUGGGGAAUCACUACAAGUCAUUUGAAGAUUCACUACCUUUUCUGAAGCUUGGAAGGAAAAACAUAAUGAAUAAGCCCAUGAUGAUUUGGUGCUUUUAAUGUUUUUUUGUUUGUUUGUCUUUUCAACUCUUCAUGUUGUGUUGAUUUAUCCCAGGGCAUCAUUAUCAACCAAAGACCUGCAAUAAACCAGCCAUUCUC